AGUUCAAUGCGAGCUGAGCAGACAGGGCUGCAAGGAAAUCUGGCGCGGUUCAAUACCUCGUCUAGCCUGGGUUCCAGUAUCUAAUUUUUUUUUUGUUUUAACUGACAAACUCAUUUCUCUACUGGGACAGGAUGCUGUGCUGGCUGGAAGUUCCAUUUCUACAGCAAGAAUCCUAUCUGGAAACACAGAAGUUGUCCUCUAGCCACAGCAGCUCGAACUUUUUUGAUUGUCGUUGCUGCUUUCUCCCAUCACCCCCAUCCCCUUUUGACAAAGAUCCAACUGUAAAAAGUCUUACGUAACAGUUCAGGACUACUUCGGUUCUUUUACUGGGUAAGCACUUUCAAUUUUUUUUUUUUAACUAAAAGCCAUUUUAAAAUU
rnacentral:lncRNA from 1 species